rnacentral:rRNA from 1 species
GAUGAACGCUAGCUACAGGCUUAACACAUGCAAGUCGAGGGGAAACGAUGAGAGAGCUUGCUCUCUUAGUCGUCGACCGGCGCACGGGUGAGUAACGCGUAUCCAACCUGCCUCUGACCAAGGGAUAACCCGUCGAAAGUCGGACUAAUACCUUAUGCAGUCGUCGGAAGUCAUCUGAUGACGACGAAAGAUUUCAUCGGUGAGAGAUGGGGAUGCGUCUGAUUAGCUUGUUGGCGGGGUAACGGCCCACCAAGGCGACGAUCAGUAGGGGUUCUGAGAGGAAGGUCCCCCACAUUGGAACUGAGACACGGUCCAAACUCCUACGGGCGGCAGCAGUGAGGAAUAUUGGUCAAUGGGCGUAAGCCUGAACCAGCCAAGUAGCGUGCAGGAUGACGGCCCUAUGGGUUGUAAACUGCUUUUAUGCGGGGAUAAAGUGAGGGACGUGUCCUUCAUUGCAGGUACCGCAUGAAUAAGGACCGGCUAAUUCCGUG